UGACUACAAAAGGAACUAUGAGAAGAAGAUAAUAAGAUUAACAAUAGAGAACCUUGACAAGUGAUAUCAGCAGCUAUGGAAACAUCUGCUUGCCAAGCAGUGAUGUAUAUUGGACACUCUCUCAAGCAUUAUUUUAAACAAGCAAACAGGGACCACUUCCAAGAUAAAGAAAGUCGCCAUUCUUCGAUGAUGAAUUCAUAAUGAAGGGAAUCCUCACUCCAAAUGGACUUGGGCUUUUUCAGGCAGAAACGGCAAAAUUGCCAAGUUCCACGAGACAAUUUCUUACGGGAGAACAGCCAGGACCCGCGGCCCUGAAAAGGCAGCAAUGAAGCAGACCCCGUUGCUAAAAUGAAAUCACUUAAUUUGUCACGUGAGCGUGCCUACCCAGAAACUAUUAGCUGCGUUGGAAGAAAGACUGAAAAUACGUAAACUCUAAGAGAAGGUCCGGUCUCUACAUGGCAUGCUGAGUUUAGGGAAAUCUGCAUGCUGCUUUCCUUUCCCACAAAAGACGCUGAGGUGUCCCUGGUGUGCCUAACGGCACAUUUCAGGGUUGGUUUAUUCCAGGAGCAACACUUCUUUGACUGCCUUUUUCCCUCCAAAUUCUUGCCGUGGCAUUUCUCCUAUCAAAGGGAAAUCCAACCACAUAGCUCCAGACACCUUCUCCUUACUUCCUAUUUCCCCAACAUUUUGUUAUAAAAAUGUUCACACACAUAGAAAGAGAACACUCAUGUAGCCACUACCUUGAUUUACCAUUGAUGUUUUGCUACACUCAUU